GACGAACGCUGGCGGCGUGCUUAACACAUGCAAGUCGAACGGAAAGGCCCUGCUUUUGUGGGGUGCUCGAGUGGCGAACGGGUGAGUAACACGUGAGUAACCUGCCCUUGACUUUGGGAUAACUUCAGGAAACUGGGGCUAAUACCGGAUCGGAGCUCCUGCUGCAUGGUGGGGGUUGGACAGUUUCGGCGGUUGGGGAUGGACUCGCGGCUUAUCAGCUUGUUGGUGGGGUAGUGGCUUACCAAGGCUUUGACGGGUAGCCGGCCUGAGAGGGUGACCGGCCACAUUGGGACUGAGAUACGGCCCAGACUCCUACGGGAGGCAGCAGUGGGGAAGAUUGCACAAUGGGCGGAAGCCUGAUGCAGCAACGCCGCGUGCGGGAUGACGGCCUUCGGGUUGGAAACCGCUUUCGCCUGUGACGAAGCGUGAGUGACGGUAAUGGGUAAAGAAGCACCGGCUAACUACGUG
rnacentral:rRNA from 1 species